rnacentral:rRNA from 1 species
GAUGAACGCUGGCGGCGUGCUUAACACAUGCAAGUCGAACGGAAAGGCUCCUGCUUGCCGGGGUACUCGAGUGGCGAACGGGUGAGUAACACGUGGGUGAUCUGCCCUUCACUUCGGGAUAAGCCUGGGAAACUGGGUCUAAUACCGGAUAGGACGAUGGUUUGGAUGCCAUUGUGGAAAGUUUUUCGGUGUGGGAUGCGCUUGCGGCCUAUCAGCUUGUUGGUGGGGUAAUCGCCUACCAAGGCGUCGACCGGUAGCCGGCCUGAGAGGGUGUACGGCCACAUUGGGACUGAGAUACGGCCCAGACUCCUACGGGAGGCAGCAGUGGGGAAUAUUGCACAAUGGGCGCAAGCCUGAUGCAGCGACGCCGCGUGGGGGAUGACGGCCUUCGGGGUGUAAACUCCUUUCGCUAGGGACGAAGCGCAAGUGACGGUACCUGGAGAAGAAGCACCGGCUAACUACGUG